rnacentral:rRNA from 1 species
AUUGAACGCUGGCGGCAUGCCUUACACAUGCAAGUCGAACGGCAGCACGGGUGCUUGCACCUGGUGGCGAGUGGCGAACGGGUGAGUAAUACAUCGGAACAUGUCCUGUGGUGGGGGAUAGCCCGGCGAAAGCCGGAUUAAUACCGCAUACGACCUACGGAUGAAAGCGGGGGACCUUCGGGCCUCGCGCUGUAGGGUUGGCAGAUAGCUGAUUAGCUCGUUGGUGGGGUAAAGGCCUACCCAGGCGAGGAUCAGUAGCUGGUCCGAGAGGACGACCAGCCACACGGGGACUGAGGCACGGCCCAGACUCCUACGGGAGGCAGCAGUGGGGAAUUCUGGACAAUGGGCGAAAGCCUGAUCCAGCAAUGCCGCGUGUGUGAAGAAGGCCUUCGGGUGGGAGAGCACUUUUGUCCGGAAAGAAAUCCUUGGCUCUAAUACAGGCGGGGGAUGACGGUACCGGAAGAAUAAGCACCGGCUAACUACGUG